CGACCAGGUUGGACAGCCGCGGAUGGGCACCGAAAGGUCCCAGAUGAGGAAAGUCCGGGCUCCACAGGGUAAGGAUAACGGGUAACGCCCGCCGGGGGUGACCCCAGGACAAGUGCAACAGAGAUAUACCACCGAAACGGCAGAUUCUGCCAUUUCGGCCAGGGUGAAAAGGUGCGGUAAGAGCGCACCCGGCCCAUGGAGACAUGGGUUUUACGAUGUAAACUCUAUCCGGAGCAACACCGUGGAGGGACAUAUGGCUGACCCGGCCGUCCCGAGGAGGUGGCUUGAUCCCGUGAGCAAUUGCGGGGCUAGAUAGAUGGCUGUUAAAACAGAACCCGGCUUACAGACCAGUGUCGCACC
rnacentral:RNase_P_RNA from 1 species